GACGAACGCUGGCGGCGUGCCUAAUACAUGCAAGUAGAACGCUGAAGCUUGGUGCUUGCACCGAGCGGAUGAGUUGCGAACGGGUGAGUAACGCGUAGGUAACCUGCCUGGUAGCGGGGGAUAACUAUUGGAAACGAUAGCUAAUACCGCAUAAUAGUAGAUGUUGCAUGACAUUUGCUUAAAAGGUGCAAUUGCAUCACUACCAGAUGGACCUGCGUUGUAUUAGCUAGUUGGUGAGGUAACGGCUCACCAAGGCAACGAUACAUAGCCGACCUGAGAGGGUGAUCGGCCACACUGGGAAUGAGACACGGCCCAGACUCCUACGGGAGGCAGCAGUAGGGAAUCUUCGGCAAUGGACGGAAGUCUGACCGAGCAACGCCGCGUGAGUGAAGAAGGUUUUCGGAUCGUAAAGCUCUGUUGUAAGAGAAGAACGAGUGUGAGAGUGGAAAGUUCACACUGUGACGGUAUCUUACCAGAAAGGGACGGCUAACUACGUG
rnacentral:rRNA from 1 species